rnacentral:rRNA from 1 species
UACGUAGGGGGCAAGCGUUGUCCGGAAUCAUUGGGCGUAAAGAGCGCGUAGGCGGCCCGGUAAGUCCGCUGUAAAAGUCAAAGGCUCAACCUUUGAAUGUCAGUGGAUACUGCCGGGCUAGAGUCCGGAAGAGGCGAGUGGAACUCCUGGUGUAGCGGUGGAAUGCGCAGAUAUCAGGAAGAACACCAACGGCGAAGGCAGCUCGCUGGGACGGUACUGACGCUGAGACGCGAAAGCGUGGGGAGCGAACAGG